AAAUUGAAGAGUUUGAUCAUGGCUCAGAUUGAACGCUGGCGGCAGGCCUAACACAUGCAAGUCGAACGGUAACAGGAAACAGCUUGCUGUUUCGCUGACGAGUGGCGGACGGGUGAGUAAUGUCUGGGAAACUGCCUGAUGGAGGGGGAUAACUACUGGAAACGGUAGCUAAUACCGCAUAACGUCGCAAGACCAAAGAGGGGGACCUUCGGGCCUCUUGCCAUCGGAUGUGCCCAGAUGGGAUUAGCUAGUAGGUGGGGUAACGGCUCACCUA
rnacentral:rRNA from 1 species